AAUAGAUACCCUGGUAGUCCACGCCGUAAACGAUGAGUGCUAAGUGUUAGAGGGUUUCCGCCCUUUAGUGCUGCAGCUAACGCAUUAAGCACUCCGCCUGGGGAGUACGGCCGCAAGGCUGAAACUCAAAGGAAUUGACGGGGGCCCGCACAAGCGGUGGAGCAUGUGGUUUAAUUCGAAGCAACGCGAAGAACCUUACCAGGUCUUGACAUCCUCUGCCAACCCUAGAGAUAGGGCGUUCCCCUUCGGGGGACAGAGUGACAGGUGGUGCAUGGUUGUCGUCAGCUCGUGUCGUGAGAUGUUGGGUUAAGUCCCGCAACGAGCGCAACCCUUGAUCUUAGUUGCCAGCAUUCAGUUGGGCACUCUAAGGUGACUGCCGGUGACAAACCGGAGGAAGAUGGGGAUGACGUCAAAUCAUCAUGCCCCUUAUGACCUGGGCUACACACGUGCUACAAUGGAUGGUACAAAGAGCUGCGAACCCGCGAGGGUAAGCCAAUCUCAUAAAGCCAUUCUCAGUUCGGAUUGU
rnacentral:rRNA from 1 species